AAACUAAAAAGAAACUAAAAGGGAAGACCUAGCAAAAAAAAAACAAAUCAAAGAAAAAAGUAGCUGUACUAAACCAGAAUAGACACUUGAGCGAGUUGUGUUCAACCAACUCUCUAUGUUUCUUGUACAGAACAACCUCCUGGACAGCAACAAAUCUUGCUUCAAAAGUGGCCACUCAACUGAAACUGCCCUGCUCUCGGUUACUGAAGCCCUGCGACUGGCAAGAGCAGCUUCAAAAUCCUCAGUACUCCUCUUGCUGGAUUUGUCUGCUGCUUUUGACACCGUUAAUCACCAGAUUCUCCUGUCCAACUGCAGAAAGAUGGGCAUCUCUGGAACUGCACUCCUGUGGUAAGUCUCAGAUGAUCCGACGGUAGCUGCAUACAUUACAGCCUGUCUGAGAGACAUUUCUAGCUGGAUGAAGGACCAUCACCUUCCGCUCAACCUUACUAAGACAGAACUGUUUGUGGUUCCAGCUAACCCAUUGUUUCAUCACAAGUUCACAACUACUCUAUACAGCUGGGUUUGUCAACAAUAACUCCUUCCAGGACAGUCAGAAACCUAGUUGUGAUCGAUCAUCAGUUGCAUAUUUGCCUUAUACAACAUUAGGAAGAUUAGACCAUUCCUGUUCGAACAAGCUGCACAACUUCUUGUCCAAACUCUUGUUCUCUCCAGACUGGACUAUUGUAAUGCUCUCCUGGUGGGCCUUCCUGCAUGUUCUAUCAAGCCUCUGCAACUAAUCCAGAAUGCAGCAGCGAAGGUUGUCUUCAAUGAGCCAAAAAACAUUCUCUUAUUGGUCUGAUUGCUUAUAUUGUUUUCAUUUGUAAGCCACUUUGGAUAAAAGCAUCUGCUAAAUGAUUAAAUGUAAAUGUAAA